UUAAGCGACUAAGCGUACACGGUGGAUGCCCUGGCAGUCAGAGGCGAUGAAGGACGUGCUAAUCUGCGAUAAGCGUCGGUAAGGUGAUAUGAACCGUUAUAACCGGCGAUUUCCGAAUGGGGAAACCCAGUGUGAUUCGUCACACUAUCAUUAACUGAAUCCAUAGGUUAAUGAGGCGAACCGGGGGAACUGAAACAUCUAAGUACCCCGAGGAAAAGAAAUCAACCGAGAUUCCCCCAGUAGCGGCGAGCGAACGGGGAGGAGCCCAGAGCCUGAAUCAGUGUGUGUGUUAGUGGAAGCGUCUGGAAAGGCGCGCGAUACAGGGUGACAGCCCCGUACACAAAAAUGCACAUGCUGUGAGCUCGAUGAGUAGGGCGGGACACGUGGUAUCCUGUCUGAAUAUGGGGGGACCAUCCUCCAAGGCUAAAUACUCCUGACUGACCGAUAGUGAACCAGUACCGUGAGGGAAAGGCGAAAAGAACCCCGGCGAGGGGAGUGAAAAAGAACCUGAAACCGUGUACGUACAAGCAGUGGGAGCACAGAGCAAUCUGUGUGACUGCGUACCUUUUGUAUAAUGGGUCAGCGACUUAUAUUCUGUAGCAAGGUUAACCGAAUAGGGGAGCCGAAGGGAAACCGAGUCUUAACCGGGCGUUAAGUUGCAGGGUAUAGACCCGAAACCCGGUGAUCUAGCCAUGGGCAGGUUGAAGGUUGGGUAACACUAACUGGAGGACCGAACCGACUAAUGUUGAAAAAUUAGCGGAUGACUUGUGGCUGGGGGUGAAAGGCCAAUCAAACCGGGAGAUAGCUGGUUCUCCCCGAAAGCUAUUUAGGUAGCGCCUCGUGAAUUCAUCUCCGGGGGUAGAGCACUGUUUCGGCAAGGGGGUCAUCCCGACUUACCAACCCGAUGCAAACUGCGAAUACCGGAGAAUGUUAUCACGGGAGACACACGGCGGGUGCUAACGUCCGUCGUGAAGAGGGAAACAACCCAGACCGCCAGCUAAGGUCCCAAGGUCAUGGUUAAGUGGGAAACGAUGUGGGAAGGCCCAGACAGCCAGGAUGUUGGCUUAGAAGCAGCCAUCAUUUAAAGAAAGCGUAAUAGCUCACUGGUCGAGUCGGCCUGCGCGGAAGAUGUAACGGGGCUAAACCAUGCACCGAAGCUGCGGCAGCGACACUGUGUGUUGUUGGGUAGGGGAGCGUUCUGUAAGCCUGUGAAGGUGUACUGUGAGGUAUGCUGGAGGUAUCAGAAGUGCGAAUGCUGACAUAAGUAACGAUAAAGCGGGUGAAAAGCCCGCUCGCCGGAAGACCAAGGGUUCCUGUCCAACGUUAAUCGGGGCAGGGUGAGUCGACCCCUAAGGCGAGGCCGAAAGGCGUAGUCGAUGGGAAACAGGUUAAUAUUCCUGUACUUGGUGUUACUGCGAAGGGGGGAUGGAGAAGGCUAUGUUGGCCGGGCGACGGUUGUCCCGGUUUAAGCGUGUAGGCUGGUUUUCCAGGCAAAUCCGGAAAAUCAAGGCUGAGGCGUGAUGACGAGGCACUACGGUGCUGAAGCAACAAAUGCCCUGCUUCCAGGAAAAGCCUCUAAGCAUCAGGUAACAUCAAAUCGUACCCCAAACCGACACAGGUGGUCAGGUAGAGAAUACCAAGGCGCUUGAGAGAACUCGGGUGAAGGAACUAGGCAAAAUGGUGCCGUAACUUCGGGAGAUGGCACGCUGAUAUGUAGGUGAAGUCCCUCGCGGAUGGAGCUGAAAUCAGUCGAAGAUACCAGCUGGCUGCAACUGUUUAUUAAAAACACAGCACUGUGCAAACACGAAAGUGGACGUAUACGGUGUGACGCCUGCCCGGUGCCGGAAGGUUAAUUGAUGGGGUCAGCGCAAGCGAAGCUCUUGAUCGAAGCCCCGGUAAACGGCGGCCGUAACUAUAACGGUCCUAAGGUAGCGAAAUUCCUUGUCGGGUAAGUUCCGACCUGCACGAAUGGCGUAAUGAUGGCCAGGCUGUCUCCACCCGAGACUCAGUGAAAUUGAACUCGCUGUGAAGAUGCAGUGUACCCGCGGCAAGACGGAAAGACCCCCGUGAACCUUUACUAUAGCUUGACACUGAACAUUGAGCCUUGAUGUGUAGGAUAGGUGGGAGGCUUUGAAGUGUGG
rnacentral:rRNA from 1 species